AUUGAACGCUGGCGGCAUGCCUUACACAUGCAAGUCGAACGGUAACAGGUUAAGCUGACGAGUGGCGAACGGGUGAGUAAUGUAUCGGAGCGUGCCCAGUCGUGGGGGAUAACUGCUCGAAAGAGCAGCUAAUACCGCAUACGACCUGAGGGUGAAAGCGGGGGAUCGCAAGACCUCGCGCGAUUGGAGCGGCCGAUAUCAGAUUAGGUAGUUGGUGAGGUAAAGGCUCACCAAGCCGACGAUCUGUAGAUGGUCUGAGAGGACGAACAGCCACACGUGGACGGGGCAACGGCCCAGACUCCUACGGGAAGCAGCAGUGGGGAAUUUUGGACGAUGGGCGCAAGCCUGAUCCAGCCAUGCAGCGCGCGGGAAGAAGGCCUUCGGGUUGUAAACCGCUUUUGUCAGGGAAGAAAAGGUUCUGGCUAAUACCUGGGGCUCAUGACGGUACCUGAAGAAUAAGCACCGGCUAACUACGUGCCAGCCGCAGCGGUAAUAC
rnacentral:rRNA from 1 species